rnacentral:tRNA from 1 species
GGAGGUGGUAGAGUCCUGGUGGGCUCCGCGGUCUUCAAAACCGUAAGCAGGGCGCUAGUACCGUUCUGGGUGGGUUCGAUUCCCAUGCACCUCCGCCA